AAAGUUUAAAGGGCCGCGGUAUUUUAACCGUGCAAAGGUAGCAUAAUAAUUAGUCUUUUAAUUGGAGGCUUGAAUGAAUGGUUGAACAAAUAAAUGAUUGUCUCUUUUUUAAAUUUUGAAUUUAACUUUUAAGUGAGAAGGCUUAAAUAAUUCAAGGGGACGAUAAGACCCUAUAAAUCAUUGUAUUGGGGUGAUAAAAGUAUAAAUUGUAACUGCUUAUAUUUGAAUACUUGUGAUGUUUGUAAUGAUCCUUUUUAAGAUUUUAAGAUUAAGUUACUUUAGGGAUAACAGCGUUAUUUUUUUUAAGAGUUCUUAUCGAAAAAAAAGUUUGCGACCUCGAUGUUGAAUUAAAAUUUCUUUAUAAUGUAGCCGUUAUAGAAGAAGGUCUGUUCGACCUUUAAUAUUUU
rnacentral:tRNA from 1 species